GAUGCUGUAGCUCAGCUGGAAGAGCGCUACCCUGACACGGUAGAGGUCAUCGGUUCAAGCCCGGUUAGCAUCACCA
rnacentral:tRNA from 1 species